UACAGAGGGUGCGAGCGUUAAUCGGAUUUACUGGGCGUAAAGCGUGCGUAGGCGGCUUUUUAAGUCGGAUGUGAAAUCCCCGAGCUUAACUUGGGAAUUGCAUUCGAUACUGGGAAGCUAGAGUAUGGGAGAGGAUGGUAGAAUUCCAGGUGUAGCGGUGAAAUGCGUAGAUAUCUGGAGGAAUACCGGUGGCGAAGGCGGCCCCCUGGACAAAGACUGACGCUCAGGUGCGAAAGCGUGGGGAGCAAACAGG
rnacentral:rRNA from 1 species